UUGUUGAAAACUCCAAAUGUGUAUACAAAAAAUUCUACUUAUUUUACAGUGUGUAAACAGUUUCUUGACAUACUGUAUUUGAUUCUUAGAUCAAAAUUGAUUUUGUCCCGAUAAUCGUCUUCUAGCACAAGUACGCACUCAUAUGCACGUUCACGUUUAUUGUUUUUACUCACACAAGAAAGCAGAUUCUAUUUUUAGAUUUUUUACGCUCUCAGUUUUCGCGAGUGGAGAGAGGAACGUCACCAAAAAAAGUGCAAAGUGCAAAGCCAAUGUAUGGCCGUUACGCAUCUUGUUAUUCUACUGUCUUUGGUAGAUCACUCUAAGAAGUCUUCCUAUGAAUGCUUCUAUCAAGCUUCUUUAUUGUGGAAGAAGAAAUUGUUUCGUUGUGUGUGGAUAUUUCCAUAAACAACAUGACCAUUCAGUGAUAGUUACACUGUGACAUGACAACUUGGAUUCGCGGAAAUCAACAAUUAGGUUAAUUAAAGUAGUUUCUAUAAUAUAUAAUAUUUAGCAAGGCCCAUAAUAUCUUCAUUGCUUUAAUAUUCCAAAAUGCGUUCAGUGUGAUAUAGAGAAAACAUAUAUAUAUAUUUUUUUUCUGUAUAAUAUUGUAGUUAUGUGUUCACAGAAACAAAACAUAAACUAUUAAAAGUAAUUUUUUAAAUUAAUUUUAUUAUAUUGACACACAAGUUAUACUUAAAAUAAUUUUAAUUAAAUUUUAAUUGUCAUCACUGAAGAUAUUUUCCAAUAAUAUUGGGCUAUUAUCAUCAUCACCAUAUUCCUCAAAAUCAAGUGCAUCAUUACCACUUGGUGGGACAAGAGCGCCGUUAAAUACGUCUUCCAAUUGGUCUUCUAACCCCAUAUUUGUGGCGAUUCCGUAAAGUAAACGUAAUAGUACAAGUCUAAUAAAAUUUGGGGUGCUAACAUCGUUUUUUUGUCUACUCAGCUGCCUUGAAUCUUCGGAUAUAAUUUUGUUUUUUACAGUCGAAAUCAUAUUAAUAUCCUUGCCUUGAAUUAGAUUCUGACUUAAACAACAACAAGUUAUAAUUGUAACUACAGUGAUCCAGAAAUAUUUGAGCAUAGUUUAAAUGUAAAAGUUGUUAUGUAGACUCAAGUUUAACCUCAAAUGUUCCCAUCUUAAUUUUAUGGGACAGCUUAUAUGUAUACAUUCAUAUGUGUACAUAUAUAUAUAUAUAUAUAUAUCUAUGUACAUAUAUCACAUAAAUAAACCGGUUAAGAAAUGCAUGAUGGUAAGGAAAGCUUCUUCGAAAUAUAAAUGUACAAACAAAUCUCGUAACAGUUCCGUCCACCAGCGAUAGUUAUUUGAUCUGAUAGUCUAGUUCCCCGACUAUCAAAUACCCGUUACUUAGCUAGUAGAAAUGCAAACGCGAAAUUUAAUCAUUUUUCUGGGAUUUCGAUAUGUACAUAUUGUGGAAUAAAAUUAAAAAUAACUUACAAAUUUUUCAAAAUUUUGGGCUUGGCAGUUUUAGUUGGUUUGUCGGAGUGGCAAUUUUUUUUUGUGAAAAUGCAUACAAAGUUACAACGUUAAAAAAAAUAUGAAAUGUCUAUGUCUAUGUCUCCAAAAUCUGCAUGCUCUUAGUGAACCCUCUAGCUUUUAUAGUUCCUUAGAUAUCGAUUUGGCUUUUGAUCCUAAUCAAGAAUAUAUAUACUGUUAAGGUUUUAUAAGAUAUUUUAAAUAAAGAAAUUAAAAGCUAUCGAAAUAUUUCCCAUUCCAAAAACCACUAAAGAAAUUAAAUCCGAUUAUGCGGAUAUUACCGCAAGUUCAUUCCAAAAUCUGUAAAAAUAGCGGAACCUUUCCCCGUAUUUCUAUAAAAGGAGAAAUAAUUAAAAUAAAAUAAUAAAUAAUCAUAAAAAUAAUCAUAAUAAAUAAUCAUAUAAUAAAUCUUUUGAAAAAUUUAGAGCCCUUUACCCUAUUCUCAUUUGCCCCUAUUUUUAAAAUCAUUUCAAGUUACUAGUGAUGUCAGCAAUUUUGCUAUAGGAGCUGUAAUAUCCACAAGAUAAUAAACCAAUUACAACGAAAAAAAUUAUUGUACAAUAGAAAAACAAUUAUUAGAAAUUGAUGGGGCAACCACUUUUGUCCAUGUUUUUAUUGUAAACUUUAAAAAAUUAAAUUAAAAUAUUUGAAAGGAAAACUAAAUUACGUAGCAAGCGCUUUAUCACGCGUUAAAAUUUAAAAAAAAUAUGAUAAAUGAAGAAGAAAAUAUUUCAACAGCAGCAACACAGUGCAUCAGAAAGUACCGUAAAUUAUAUUUAAAUCACUUAAAAACCAUUAAAUAAUUUUAAUAGACAAAUAGAAUUUAUAAAAGAUUCCAUAAACCAAGUAGACAUAUCAAAAUAUUUCACUAAAGUUAAAAUCAUAAAAUACUAAUACGACUACCAAAAGCAAAAGGCUUGUUAAGAAAAUAUUUUCUAAACCACAGUAGCGAAAUUUACAUACAUAAUAACAGUGACUUUUCCCACUUUCAAGAUGCGUAUCAUUAAACUAUUAACCCAAACAGUAACGUAACAAUUUAAAAAGUAUAAUUAAACUAAAACUCUUACGCUGAAUUCGAGAAAUGUAUUAUUACACACUCAUAUCGAAAAAAUAAAACGACUUUUUAAAGAAACUCAUUAUUAUUAAUUAAUUCAAAAUAUCAUUAUUGAUUGCGAAAUCUGCAAUCUUGCAAAAACAGAACAUAGACCACCGAAAGUAAUAUUUGAAAAAAUCCCAGACGUCAUUAAUUUUUAUGCUAUUGACAAUGAACAAUAUUUAUCCUGUAUUGACGUCUACUCAAAAUUAGCAAAUUUUGAAAGUUUGGCUGAAUAAUGAAGGAAUAAUUAUAACCACGAGCACAACAGGAGUAGCAGAUGUAAAACGCCUUCACAAAACAAUAAAUUGAAAAAUACGAAUUAUCAAUACUAAAGAUAAUAGAGAAAAUAUGGAAACAAGAAUAGAAACAAUUUUAUACUCAUACAACCAUAAAACUAAACAUAAUACAACCGGACAGAUACCAGUUUAAAUUCUACUUUACGCAGACACGCCUGCCUAUCUAUGACUCGCAGAUAAUAAAAAAAAAUUAAAUUAAAAAACUUACCGAGAACAGACAAAACCAGAGAGAAUGCAAAAGUCGAGUUCCCCGACUAUCAGAUAGAGAACGCGAAUAUUUCUAGGAUAUCUAAUUUAAAAAUUGAUCAAAAGGUUUAUAUGUUUUUAUUGAUAUGUUUUUAUUGGUUCUAGCUAGCGAAAUUCUGCAUAGAUGCGAUAUGUAUAGGUAACGAAAAGCGAAUGUUAGAAAAUUUGCAUUGCGAACAGCAGAACGCUAAGCCAAAGAAGACUUUCCACGUUGGAAUCGUGGCUUUCAACUGAAUUCCUAAGGGGUAGCAGUCACAGCUUAUUCACUGCCCGCUUCGUCAAUCCAGAUAGUGUCCUCAGCCUAUCAACUCGACUACAUCUCUUCAUUAUGCCGACUUGUAACUGCUGAUGAUGUCGUCAUCAGCAUCUUCCGCCACCAAAGCGGAUGAUAUCUCGGCGAGAAAGUUUUCCAGUAGCCAGCAAAGUCAACAGGCCCGGCAGGUUUGACAUUCCAAAGAACAGCCCAAGUGCUAUCGUUCUGCAAACCAGAUCACAGGGCCAUAAAUAUGCGCCAUGGAUCCAUAGGACAGUCCGCCUUCGUAAAACACUUUCUUCGGUACAAUACGCUGUCAUGUAAAAGGCUCUUUCUUCACCAACUGGGCUCCACUUUCUGGGAUUCCUGGGGGAACGUAUCCACCGGGGGCAGUUUGAUUGACCAGCAUGCAGUGCGGAUACUGGUGCUGCGGAUCCUGAUGGGGAUGUGGGUGUUGACGCGGGGAGGCUUCUGCUGCAAGGGCUGUUGUUGCAUUGCGUGUCCUGGGAUAGGCGGUGGCUUUGUAGAUAUCAUGCCACCGAGUGACCCCUGGACCUCUUUUCGGCCCGCACCCUGUAAUGCUGUAUGUGGCAUGGCGAAAAGUGACUUAAUCAUUUUACCGGAUCCUACUUGUUGCAAUUCUGGAGAUGGAACGCUCCCUGUUGCGGCGGUGAUUGCUGAACUCAUCCGUGCUGUUGCGAUUGCUGCUUCUGGGCUGAUUCUGCUUAUUCCGUUGUCUUGCGAUAUUCGCUCCGAUUCAACGCUUUCCGUUGCGCCACUAGCACCCUGAGAAUUUUCUUAAUUAUUUGUUGAAUCUCAACGAUCACAUUAUAAAUUGCAGCCGCCUUGCGCUUUAAUAAUGUCACCCUGUUUGCGUCAGCGGUACAGGGCAGAAACAGCGACUCGAAAUUCUGUUCAAGCAGCAAGAUGUGCGCAAAGAUGUAUAAGCCGAAACUGCAGUUAUUUGGCUAUGUACACGCAAAAAUAUAACUCCUUACUUAUAUAUUUAUAUGCGUAACAAACGGAGUUGCUUUCAAUGUUCGCUGCAUUUAAUUUGUCUGCAUUUAAUACUUGAACAACGCACUCAGCAACAAUUGGAAUUAAAGCAAGGUAAAGCUUAAAACAGCUUUUCAAGUUUUGUACUAUUUAUUGUUUAUGCACAAAUCACGUCGGGGUUUUGAUUAUUUAUUACAUAUUUGUAGCAUUAAAAGUCGAGGUUUAUGUAGUAAUUUUGAACGAUAUAUUGUUAUUGGAUUUAGCCAACGAGAUUCUGCAUGGAUGUGUAUGUGCUAUACUCGUAUCACUAAACAACGGUACUUGGUCUGCAAUUCUGCUUGCGUUGGCGAUUGAAAUGUCGUGAGCGUUGAAUAAACUUGUACAUACGAGUACAAGCGAUGACCAGUAGACAGCGAUAAUAGGAAUUGCCGCCGAAACGCGAUGGGCUGUUGAACUUAGGGAAGCGUGACCGUUACCAGACAAGGGUGAACCGGUGCCGUGCUCUAAAGGCAAAUGUUGUAACCUCCUGUCCCUUGCUCUGUCCCGGCCGUUCCCGCCAAACGACUGUUCAGUUUCCACUAACGCUCCACGCAAUUGCCGGGUUUACGCCACCAACCUCUGCUCUGACCGGUCGCGAUGGUAACACGACUGCUCAGCUCCUACGAAUGCUCCGGGCAACCGCUUUACCUCCUUGUUGACUUUCACGGCUGUAGCUCCCUUGCUGCGUCGCUUUUUUUUCGCCUGUCCCGCUACUGCCUCCUUCUCGACUGCGAUGCGACAAAGUUGCUUCGAGUUGUUCGAUUGUUUUCUCGUUCUUAUCGACUUUCAGCGCUCAGCCUGCUUAUAUAGACCACCCUUAGCCAUUAUUCCUUGAUGCCUCCAGAUCCAAACUCCACGGCAUUACUGUUUGCAUCGUCCAAAGUUCAGCUUCGUAUCGGCAGGCAUGUACCCUCUUUUUAACUUCAUUUUUUUCAGGUUCACUCGCGCUCUCCCCAUUGAAUUUCUCCAAACUCUGUUCCUUUAGACUCUCAAUCUCCCAUUGACCAGACUCUGUUUCUCCAAACUCUCUCUUUACAAAUUCCGUUUCUAUAAAAUCCCUUUCUCCAAACCAUCACUCUUGCAAUGACGUUACUACGGGCUGAUUUGUUGCGUAAUUGACAACAGGUAGGCCCUCGUUCCGCAGUUGACAUCUGCGUUUGUGCAGAGUUUUAACUCCUCACAGUAGGAACUUGCCUCCAGUGGCGUUCUAAUGUAAUUUCUUGAAUUUCAGCAAUUCGAUUGCCGACAAAGUUCGAUAAUGUGGCCGAGUGAUUCCAAUAUAGAACAAUUAGAGAAUCGCACCAUAAGUACUAGAUUGGCUCUCUGUCUGCGAAGAUUGAUUUAAUAUUUUGCUAGAGUUCUGCGUACAAAUGUGCUCCACAAAAUUCUACCUUUGAUAGAGAUAGUUUCUUGUUGGGAGCAACUCUGAAUUUUGGCACAUUUCAGUAUGCGUGCGUAGAUGCAGCAGCACUUAUGGAGGCGUCACAGAAGCCGUGUAUCUGAAGAGUGCGCUGCCUAGAGACGAUAUCGUGGUAUCUCGACAGACUCCAAUGACGCAAGCCACGCAAGAAUAUGUUGUCUGAAUCAAUUCUUGGUGAGAACGAAAACAUGAAUAUGUCUCGUACUUGGUCCCAUUUAAGGCCAAUUGGCCAUUCUGUAGAAUAGCUGUAACUUCCCUUUUGAUUUAAUUUAGUUCCACUUCCGUAUUCGCUCCACCAGGUGCUCAAUGAUUGCAAUGGCAAAGCUCCUCAAAGGAUGUAUUGGAAGCUGCGAUCCUCGGCUGACACGUUGAUAUGGCGGAACAUCUUAAUAACAUCAGCAGUCAUACUUCGCAUAGCGAUGUAUACGAAAACGAUGGAAAAAUGUACAACGAUUUGUCUUAAUUGUGGUAGGUCGGAUCUAUAAAAAAUCGUUGAGCGAUUUCAGGACGUGGCUGAUGCAUUAAAAACCACUCUAAGUUUAAUUGAAGUGAUAUUAGGCUUGAGCACGCAGUGGUCUUUACAUAUUCGGGCUUACCUUAGGCCUCUUUCAGAGUCUGCGAUCAAGAGAUAGGAAUCUCGCCCUGGCAAUGUCGAACGAGGCUCAGAAAACGGUAUUUAACAAUUUUAAUGGCAGUCGAACUUCCAGUUUCGCUGCUCCGGCGUAAGUAAACUCUCACCCAUGCUUCGAAUCUAUAGGUUGCUCCGUGACAGCCGAAGCCUUUGGGAGAACUUUUCGGAUAUAAAGUUCAAUCGAGAACGUGAAUCCAAAACAGGCACCAAGUAUCUCUCUUCGAGUCCGGUUGCCUGUGCCUAUCCAUUUCCAUUAUCUUCUUCUCUUCUUAAAGAAAUUUAUUGGCUUUAUGACUUUUUUGACGCCUGGCUCGAAUUAUGGCUGUCGCAAAUUAAUGUUGUCUCCUAUCAAAAUGCAGGUUAAUUAUAUCCAAACCUCUCUUGGUUGAUUAUGGGAUCUAUGUCUGAGUAGCGCUUCUUACUCAACCUGAAGAUCCAUAUCAACCUACUUUCGAGUGACAAUCGACAUAGUUACGGUAAUAAAAGAGAAAUCAGAAGUCAACCAAACGAAUUCAUUGUUUUCGCAAGGCCAUUUUUCGGAGGUUAAAUAAUUUUAUUGCGAAAGCCGGAAUUAAAUAAUUUGUUAACCGUCAAUCUCUAACAUACCUCCAAACCAAUUUCGUACCCUUCCUCGCUAUUUCUUAAAAAAAACUACGGUAACAUUAAAUCAAGCAAUAACCGAUCUAUUUGCCAUGUUAUUUCAUAAACCAAAUUGUUUACGGGGAAGACAACCAAUAUGCCACUCUUAGGGUUAUAUUUUGAUUAUAUUAAUGUAUAUUUAUGCUCUGUUUUAGCAAGAGAAGAAAGAAGGGCGAGAUGAGACCUAUGCGCGCAUGACUAUGCGCUAGCGAUGUUCUCCGAACAUACUCCCCUUAUUGAAAGGGUUACGGUUGCAACUAUAUUGGAAUAUAUGGCCAGAACGGCUAGUUCGGCGAUGGCUACUCUGAUGUCGCCGUCCCCGCCGGAUAUGACUUCCUAGAUGAGCCCAAGCUGCCAUCUCAACGGUGGAAUGUUGUCCUCCUUCAGCAAAACUAUAGUAGAAGAUGAGUGAUGUCAGGCUCAGAAAAUUUUUUGCUAAUGGAUAUUUUAAAAAUAAUUGGUAAAACAAAAAAAAAAACCUCAAAAUUUAUGCGGUAACAAAAAUAGCACUGUUUCUCGUAUUUUGCUAAAACUAAAUAAAAAAAUAAAAUAGGAGUUCAACAAAUGGAUUAUAUCUUAAGAACUAUGUUUAAAGAAUCUUAAUAUUUGGUUGCGUGACCAUUGUAGGCAAUGACAGCUGCGCAUCCUCUUGGCAUGGAGUCCACCAAGUCCUGGUACCGUUUUUGAGGAAUUUUGCUCCAUGAAUCCUUGAUCCUCGAUCACCCAUGAAUCCAAAGUUCUUCGAUAUUGUUUGGUUUGGCUUCAUAAACCUUUUUUUCACGUCCGCACAAAGUUUUUCGAUUGGAUUCAAAUCGGGUGACUGAGCAGGCCAUUUCAUUACUCGGAUCGAUUUCUGCUCAAACCACUUUCGAGCCUUCCUCCUCGUGUUUUUUGGGUAGUUAUCCUGUUGAAAUGUCCAAAAAAAACGAUAUCUGUGUAAAUGUGCUGAUCCAUGAUGCCUUGAAUCAUAUGAAUCGGAUCUACUCCAUAGUAUGAAAAGCCCAUACCAUGAUGUUUGAUCCCCCGUGCUUUACCGUCAUAAAGGUGAUGCGACGAUUAUUUUCAGUUCGUGGUGGACGCCGAACAUAAGACCGAGAGCCUUUCCAACCAAAAAACACAAUUUUGCUCUCAACUGACCAUAAAAAUGUGGCGCCACUUCUCCACAGGCCAGUCCUUGCGUAUCUUGGCAUAUUCGAUUCGCUUUGCCACAUGCUUCGCAGUCAGAAGUGGGACUUUUCUGGGACUGCACACAUUAAGGUUGUUUUGUCUUAAGUGUUUGCGAACUGUUUCUACGCUUGCAGCUAUCUGAAGCUCCUUCUUCAGUUCCGUCGCUGGCUUAAAAGGCUCCUUCUUGCUUUGCCGAUCCAAGCGCUUGAUCUCCACGUUGGAUGUUAAGAGGUUUCUUCCACGUGUUUCGUUCUUUUCUACAAACAGCAAUGCAUUGCGGAUCAUAUUGCUUGAAAAACCAAAAAACCGUCCCAUUUUAGCGUAGGUUUUACCUUCAGAGAUCAUGUUUUUAAUCAAAUUCCUUAUUUCGACGGUAAAAUGCUUUCCCCGACCCAUAACUAGAGAAUUUUUGGUCUUCUUUCGAAAAAAAUUCAAUUAAAACCUUUAAUGCAACUCCUUUUUUCAAAAAUUGUCGAAAAAAAACACAAAGCCAUCACUCCUAUUAAUUUUAUUCAGCAAAAACGUGGUCAGUGCUAUUUUUGUUACCGCCUCAUUUAGCGCCCUUUUGCAGAAAGUGCCCAAAAACAAAAAGAACCGUUACAUUGAGAGACUAAAAAUUUCUUGCUUACAGAGAAAACAUAUGGUACUUAUUAUUCAUGCAAUCGGACUUUAAAAAAGAAACAUUCAAUACCUUUUUUUAGGAAAUCAACUUUCCACCUGCAGUAGUGCUAUUAUUUUAAUCGCAGCUGUAUAUAUAGCUCAUGAGAUCUCGACAUUCAUAUGGACGGACAGACGGACAGACUGAAAGACGGACAUGGCAGUAUCGACUCGGCUUUUGAUCCUGAUCAAUUAUAAAUGUACUUUAUAUGGUAGGAAACGCUGCCUUCUGUCUGUUACAAAACUAUGUAUGUAUGUAACGAAUAUGGUAUACCCUAUAUAUAGUAAAGGGUGUAAUUAUUUAUCCUCAGAAAUUUUGGCUUGCGAAAACUAUGAAUUCGCGUGGUUAACUUCUCUGAAUUUUUUUUAUUACGCUAACUAUGUUGAUUUUCACCACUAAAGUAGGUUUAUUUCUAUUUUCAGAUUGAGCAGGAGGUGCUACUCUGGACAAAAACAAACUUUCAGGACUUGUUACAAGACUUAGAUCCAAAAAUUGACCAAAACAGUUUCGUCAAUAAAUUCAUGUCGUGCUAUAAGGAAAAUAGAUAGAUAAAUAAAUAGAUAGAUAGAUAGAUAAAUA